rnacentral:rRNA from 1 species
AGAGAGAGACAUGCGCGCAUAUCAAUAAGCGGAGGAAAAGAAACUAACUAGGAUUCCCUUAGUAACGGCGAGUGAAGCGGGAAGAGCUCAAAUUUGAAAUCUUCAAGGUUCUACCUUGACGAAUUGUAGUUUAUAAGAAGUGUUUUCGGUUAGAUGGAGUAGUCAAAAGUUCUUUGGAAUAGGACAUCAUAGAGGGUGAGAAUCCCGUAUUUGACCUAUUAUUUCCUAGCUUUGUGAUACACUUUCAAAGAGUCGGAUUGUUUGGGAAUGCAGUCCAAAAUGGGUGGUAAAUUUCAUCUAAAGCUAAAUAUUGGCGAGAGACCGAUAGCGAACAAGUACCGUGAGGGAAAGAUGAAAAGAACUUUGAAAAGAGAGUUAAACAGUACGUGAAAUUGUCAAAAGGGAAGCGUUUGACACCAGUGUUGUUUUCUCGAAAAUCAAUUAAGAUGGCCUGGAUUUGUAAGUUGUAUUGACUUUAUCAGCUUGCUGCUACGUUUUCUUGUCUUUGUGAAUGCACUUUUCGUUUAACAAGUCAACAUCAAUUUCUUUUGUUGUAAAAGAGUCAUUGGAAGGUGGCUUUCUUUUCGGUAGAAAGUGUUUAUAGCCUUUGACUUCUGCAAUCGGAGAGAUUGAGGUCUGCAGCGUAGAUCCUUCGGGGUUAGAUAGCAUUUGUGCUAAGUUAUAUGCCUUUCAUAGACAACUUGUUGACUAUGAUCAGUCAUGUAGCUUACUCGCUUAUGCUAUUUUACCUACGCUUAGGAUGUUGACAGCAGUAUAGACUGU